rnacentral:rRNA from 1 species
UACGGAGGGGGCUAGCGUUGUUCGGAAUCACUGGGCGUAAAGGGUGCGUAGGCGGGUCUUUAAGUCAGGGGUGAAAUCCUGGAGCUCAACUCCAGAACUGCCUUUGAUACUGAGGAUCUUGAGUUCGGGAGAGGUGAGUGGAACUGCGAGUGUAGAGGUGAAAUUCGUAGAUAUUCGCAAGAACACCAGUGGCGAAGGCGGCUCACUGGCCCGAUA